GGGGAAUUUUCCGCAAUGGGCGAAAGCCUGACGGAGCAACGCCGCGUGAGGGAUGAAGGCCUCUGGGCUGUAAACCUCUUUUCUCAAGGAAGAAGAUCUGACGGUACUUGAGGAAUAAGCCACGGCUAAUUCCGUGCCAGCAGCCGCGGUAAUACGGGAGUGGCAAGCGUUAUCCGGAAUUAUUGGGCGUAAAGCGUCCGCAGGCGGUCUUGUAAGUCUGUCGUUAAAGCGUGGAGCUUAACUCCAUUUCAGCGAUGGAAACUGCAAGACUAGAGUGUGGUAGGGGCAGAGGGAAUUCCCGGUGUAACGGUGAAAUGCGUAGAUAUCGGGAAGAACACCAGUGGCGAAGGCGCUCUGCUGGGCCAUAACUGACGCUCAUGGACGAAAGCCAGGGGAGCGAAAGGGAUUAGAUACCCCAGUAGUC
rnacentral:rRNA from 1 species